UUUAAACUAUCAACAAAGCCUUGGGCAGCAAGUAAACGUAGCACUUGACUUUUGGGAUUAUGAAAGACUAAAGAUAUUAGACAGCCUUGAAUGAGGAAAUGGAAAACCGUCUUGACAGCGCAACAGUCAUUUUUGUACGGCAUGUAAAUGUCCUGAAGAGGAAGGAAGCCGUACUCUGAGCUUCUUUACUGUUUAUUCUGAGUACUUAGAACCAUCAACCACAGACUUCACACUCACUGUUCAGAACAUCACACUGCCAGCAAGUCCACCAACCCCACUCCUCCCUUCCUCUCUACUGCAGGGUGGUGAUGCAGCUAUGGAGUUGAGAACUACAGGAAGUGUGUUUGUGUUCUUCCUCUGCUCUUUGGCAGUGGUGCUGGGUCAGUACUGGAGAGUGACUUACCCCCUCCAGAGUGUCUGUGUCUUGAGAGGCUCAUCAGUGGACCUGUCCUGCUCCUAUACUUACCCCAGAGGUCACAAAGUCACUACAACAUUCUGGUUUACCAGACGGAGGGAUGGUGAAGUUUCACAGGACCUGAGUCUGGACCCAGAGUAUGCAGGUCGUGUGCAAUACUGUGGGAAUAAGAAGAGUAAAGCAACCCUGACGAUCACAGACCUGAGAGAGAGAGAUGCUGCUGUGUACAAGUUCAGGAUUAUUACAGACAA